ACUGCAGUCCGCCUGGAGGCAGGGCUAGAGAGGGACUGGCAGUGGGCCACUGAGGCCUGAGGGUGCUGAGGAACUGUGUGUUCUUGAAGGGAGCUGGGUGUUCCCAGGAAGAAGAACUGGGGGUUCUAGGGAGUAGGGAGGACCCUGGACUGAAGGAAGAACAAUGACUCCCUUCCCCGCCCAGGAAGGGGGCGCAGACCAAGACCGGAGUGGUCACUGUGGGAAGGCAGUGACCCGAAGAGAACACCUCACCCAAAGGGGGCACGUCGUCAUUGGAGCAGCUGGUCACUUCCCCACAAGCCACCCUAAAGGAGUCAGCUGUGCGUAAAAUCUAACAAGACUGUAGAAACACUGAAGCUGCACACAAGACCAGCCCACAGGCAAGAGGUAUAAACGGAUCAGUAGACAAACCAGAACACAGGAGCAAUUGUGUAAGAUAUGUAGCAAUUGUGUGUUUCUCCACAGAAAAAUCAAUGUUCUACUUGUGCAAUGCUAUAAUAUGGGGGUAGAUGGAAUGCUUUCCCAAUCCAACCAUGUGAUCAGUUUAUGCCUGAGAGACUGUUGUAUCUUUUGAACUAGCCAAUAUAAAUACAACGGUGACAGUGUACUCAAACAAUCCCAGAUUAUCCUAUAGAAUACACACCUCCAAUACUGGCUCUAAAUUCAGCAUCUUAGUGCAGAUGGAAGAAUACAGGGAGGAAAUGCCAUUAUUGCAAACUUAAGGCUAUGUUAACCCAUAUCCAAAUGCACCGCCUCCUCAAUGAGAAGAACAUUUGGAUCUAUGUGGCAAUGGAUCCUACAGCUCUGUUUUUUCUCCUUUCACACUGGUUUAUGGAAUGUGGGGAAACUACAACUCCCAUGAGACAUCAAUGCAGCUCACCCACAGGUAGAAACUAUGGAGCUUCAUGGAUGAUGGAGUCUGACUGGGAAACAGAGCCAGAGGAGACUACAGAGGAAGGAGGGAUAAAGAACUCCAUUUCCUAUAAAGUACAGUAGUGGCUCAAGGGGAUGGAGAGAUUAAUGUUGAUUCAAAAUAAAGUGUUUCAAUAUGGUCAAACCAAAAUAUAACACACUGAUCUUCCGGAUACUAAAUUCUACCAAAAUCUAUCUUCUCUUUAGAAAACUUUGAUUUUGACAAUCCCAUUUUCCUCAAGAAAAAUUUCUUUGAAAAAUUGUGACCAACCUUAAUGUUCAGUCAAGUCCGGUGAUCCUAAUUCAUGCAAACCAUUCGUUGAAGUUACUACAGAUUUGUCAUUAAGCAAGUCCUCUUAAGAUUAAGAGUUCCUUGGAGGAGGGACUGUCGAGUGUUUGAAAAGCAGCUAAUACAUACUGCAUGUUACUAUAAGUAAAACCUGAAUAAUAAUAUUACUGUAAUGCCCUGAGACCCUAGUCAAAUCACGGCCUUAUGUCAGACAUCAUGCAAACAGAGAGUCUGAGAGACCAUUGCUGCCCACCAAGAACUUAC